rnacentral:rRNA from 1 species
AACGAACGCUGGCGGCGUGCUCAACACAUGCAAGUCGAACGGUAAGGCCCUUCGGGGUACACGAGUGGCGAACGGGUGAGUAACACGUGGGUGAUCUGCCCUGCACUUCGGGAUAAGCCUGGGAAACUGGGUCUAAUACCGGAUAGGACCACUGCCUGCAUGGGUGGUGGUGGAAAGCUUUUGCGGUGUGGGAUGGGCCCGCGGCCUAUCAGCUUGUUGGUGGGGUGAUGGCCUACCAAGGCGACGACGGGUAGCCGGCCUGAGAGGGUGACCGGCCAAACUGGGACUGGGAUACGGCCCAGACUCCUACGGGAGGCAGCAGUGGGGAAUAUUGCACAAUGGGCGCAAGCCUGAUGCAGCGACGCCGCGUGAGGGAUGACGGCCUUCGGGUUGUAAACCUCUUUCAGCACCGACGAAGCGCAAGUGACGGUAGGUGCAGAAGAAGGACCGGCCAACUACGUGCCAGCAGCCGCCGUAA